rnacentral:rRNA from 1 species
UACGAAGGGGGCUAGCGUUGCUCGGAAUCACUGGGCGUAAAGCGCACGUAGGCGGAUUGCUAAGUCAGGGGUGAAAUCCUGGAGCUCAACUCCAGAACUGCCUUUGAUACUGGCGAUCUUGAGUCCGGGAGAGGUGAGUGGAACUGCGAGUGUAGAGGUGAAAUUCGUAGAUAUUCGCAAGAACACCAGUGGCGAAGGCGGCUCACUGGCCCGGUACUGACGCUGAGGCACGAAAGUGUGGGGAUCAAACAGG